AAGAUAGCACUGUCUUUUCCCCCCCUGCAUAUCAUUUGUUAGUUUUGGCAAUACAUUAUUAAAAUAAAUUAUCUAUAUACUACUUUUUUUCAUUUAAAUAUUGAAAUCUUAGAAGUUAUAUCAGAAAGUAGUCUGAACUAGCCUACAUGCAAGCUGACACAAUGCAAUUUUCUUUUUCUACAUUGAUGUCAUUGACAUGAGUGCUUUUCAACGGUGGCACACAAAACAGGGAAGCACCUGCGGUCCUUUCCUGGCCCAUGAUCUGGCUUCCUCUCACAGGAACAGGCCAAACGCCGGGUACACACUACAGGAUGAUCGGGGCGAUUUUGGGGUGAUUCGCCCCCCUUGACAAUCUCGGGGGAAUCCUAGUUUGAGGCUGCUCUGAACAGAUUAUCUGCCAGCAUUAUCAUGUUGUGCGAGUCAUUUACAGACAUAAUCUUAACCCUCCCGUUCAGCUCGUGGUCGCCUCGGGUUCAAAACCCUAAGUAUCAAACACGUUUGACGUGUACUCCUCGAAAUCCUUUAGGAAAUCCUGUAGUGUGAGGGGGGCAGCGAUGGAAUCUCGAAAAGCAACUCGCGAUAGCCAAUGAGAGCCGAGCUGGGAAGUGGAAGUUGCGCGAUUCACAACUAGAGAAACAUGGCAGCGAAUACGAAGAGGGUGUCUGGGCCAGCUGGACAGGAGAGCUGGAAGACAAGCUAUUACAAUUGUUCGUUAGCAGUACCAUGGAAUGUGAAGAGAAGCGCUGUUCGAAAGAGCCAAUCAGAAGGACGGAAGCUCGGAACAAAAUUCCCACUGGGAGGCACUGGACGCAAUCUGAUCAGCAGUUCCUGAGACACAGAAACCGGCGCUGACACCGAAGUGCGCGGGAGGAGACACAGGCCGAGUCUGGGCUGUGGAGUCAUGGGGGCCGGGGAUGCAUUCCCAGCUUUGGGUCAGUAGGCUGUGGAGUCAUGGGGGACAGGGAUGCAUUCCCAGCUUUGGGUCAGUAGGCUGUGUGAUUAUGUUUAACGCUCACUCUUUGUGUCACUGAUAAUAUACAGUAGAAAUAUAAUUAAUACAUCUAGUAAUAAAAUAAACAUAACAUAAUGAUGAGAACAGGCCAUUCAGCCCAACAAUGCCAGCCAUUUUCCUGACUACAUUAGUGCUCUGAUUACCUACAGACUAGAUAGUACCUAACACUGUAUCAAGCCUGAUCUUGAAAAUCCCCAGAGUUUCUGCCUCUACUGCGUGACCUGGCAGGCUAUUCCACACAUUGACUACUCUCUAAAGGAGCUUGAGGCCAUACAUCCAAAUGAUUCUUUGAUAGCUGUGAUUUUUUUUUUCAUAACUCCGGGGUUCAUAUCUCUGAGUUUGUAAAAACAAUACAGAUUUAUAUUUUAUUAAGCAUGUAUUAAAGGUAGACCUGUAUGGAUUUUUAAAGGCCAAUACCAAUGCCAGUGUUUGGGAUAUGCCAAGGCUGACUGGCAGAUAUUUGCUGAUUAUAUAUGUUUUUUUCCACAUUAAGAAAGGUACAACAUACCUGAUGUAAAUUGCAUGUGAAAAAUUAUAACCACACCAAAUAUUGUACUAAAAUGGCUCCAGAUUCUGCAAAACGUCAUACUUAGGUUGAUUGAUGUCUAUUUGACAAACUGGUUCUGAACAAAAUGGUAUAUGAAUUCCCUGACCGGCACUAAUUACAGAUUCAGUGUAUUCAACUGAAUACUGAGGACACCUGAAUGGGUAGAAAAUGAAGAAAAGACAAAAAGGUUAAAUACAUGAAUAUCAAUAUUAUUUGACACACAUUUGUCUUAAUUUAUCAUGCUUGCAGGAGUUGUUUGAACCUUCAUUUUAAAGAUGUGCUUCACUGGUCAAAACUUUCCUCUCUGUUAAUGUCAGGAGUUCAGCUAACGGCCACCAGAGGCCGCCAGUUUCCCUGUGUUUCCUGUGUCUCGUCUGAGUUGAUUGUUAGUAAUUGUGUAAUGAUUAAUUGGCGUUAUGUCUCUCGUGUCUGCGUGGUCUGGUGGUUAUCUUCAGGUGUUCCCCUGCGUAUUUAGUUCCCUCUGUUGGCUGGCUUUGUUUUUCUAUCCUGUUUUGUGUUAGCUUCUCGUGCUUCUAGUACUGUUAAGAAUUUACCUGUGUUUGCCUCUUGUGCUACCUGCGUUUUGGCCUCCUGUUUUCUCCCGUGCUUUUACCUCCUGCAUUUUGCGUAUUUUUGCAAGCCUUUGGGUAAAGGUCUUUUUUUGAAUAUCAUCUGAGCCUUAUCUGCACUUGGGUCUAAGCCAAACAUCUCCUGGUGACAAUUCUGCACAAAGUCAAAUCUAAAUUCACCCUGCUUUGGCCUAGUGCUGGGCCUUAUUUGCUUCCUAAACAAGGUGACAAUCGUCAUUGUAUAGGACAUAAUCUUAGGCUGCUUCUCUUCAGCUCAAUAACUGUGGGCCUACCGGGAAGUGUGUCUGUUAUACAGAUCGAUUAAAAAAAACGCGUCAGAAGUUUUAGUAAGUUAUUUUGAAACUUCAGACAGUUAUGAUGUUUGCUUCAGCAGUACAGUACUUUGUCUGUGCAGUACAGUAUUUUUAUUAUUUUUAAAAAAACAUUUUCAUUCGUCCUUCUAUAAGACGCUGCGCGCACGGUGUUUAGCAUGAGAAAGGAAGUGUCAUUGUUAAGGUGUCUCUCUCAAACCCCGCGCAAACCCGUCAGCUGACAAACCUCCGCCGCCUGAAAGAUCGCCGGGCCGUGCCGGCACAAAGGGGCCCGCGAUGUAGAGAUUAGGAACAAUGCCUUCGCCUCGGACUCCCCCCUCCCUGUUCCCGGUGAAGGCUUUUCAUGCCAGCGCCCCGGCCCGCCCGCCUCCGUCAGGUGGGGUGCCGAGGGACACGGAGAUAGACGCCGCUGUUUUCGUCUGUCUGACCGCCAGCACAAAGGGUCGCUCAGAAUGUGAUCCCGCGUGGCAGCGAUAUGAAUAUUAAAUACAAAAAACUGCCACUGGCGUCGAGGAACGUCGGCUCCUCCCGUCCCGUAGCCCUGGAUAAACUCUCGUGCUAUUACAGCGCGUGCCAAACUGUGCCUCGGUACCCGGUGAUCUUUCUCUACAAUGCCCAACACAGAAAUGAAAACAGAGGAUUUUUUUUUUUUUUUUUUUUUAAUGCUGUAUGGUUUCUUGCUUUUUGUCUGGGUUACAAUUAAUUACAAAUGGUGUAAUCUUACAGUUUUAACCUAGUGGUUUAGUUUUUAGUCAAAUUAAAAAAAACACACGCUUAUGUUUUCCAGUCUAGGAACAAUUUAAAUAUAGGACAUGCCUCCAUUGGGGAGGCCACACAAAUAGCAGAAUGAAUUUGCCCUUCGUUUUCUGACCUUUGAGACGAGGUGGAACAGGAGGUCAGUCUGCAGUAUGAAUGAGUGGCAGUGAUAUCUGCAGAAACUGCAUGAUGACAUCGAAUCAGCAUGGACCAAAAUCCCUAAGGAAUGUUUCCAGCGCCUCGUUGAAUCCGUGCCACAAAGAAUUCCGGGUUUUCCGCGGGCAAAAGGGGGUCUAGCCUGGUCUGGACUGGCACACGUGGCCACUGAGCGUAUGUAAAAAAUGUUGAAAUUCCACACAUCUGAAUCAAUGUUAAACAGCAUUUUCACAAGGGAAAGAAUGAAUGUGUACAUCGUACAAGUGGCGUGUGGACUCGGAAAGUUUGGAGACCAGCGGUCUGGGGUGCGAGCGUUAGAAUGUGAACGUGUGCUAGGAGCUGGCAGUCGGGCAGGUUUUAUCAGAGCGAGAUCCGGAGGUGAAGCCCCUGUGAGCUGGUGGAGCUUCUCUGGAAGCUGAAAGGAGCUUCUCUCUGUAAGUACGGCGCUACUCAGCGCAGAAGCUCCUUUCAUCUCUGCUCCCUCUCUCUCUGCACUGUUUUCUUUCCUUCCGGAGUUGAAAGCCUCAGGAUGGUGGCCUGCACACGACCGCUCCCUUUCAUGUGCGCAGGUGAGCUGCGUCACCUGCCCGGUGUCAGAAGGACCGUUACUCUGAGUGAUGCGUGUUUGUCAGAGCGACACUACCCAUGGUGCACCUGUGUACGAAACGUGCCCAACCCUGUGAGCUCACCAGUGUGUGGAACUUCUCUCAUUUAAUUAGCAACGAAUAACACUGGAGCUGUCAGUCAUAAUUUCUUGAGGUUAAAAUACUGAUUUAAAAAAAUGUAACAUCUUGACUGUGAUAUCUGUUGUAAUUUCUGCUUCUGCCUUUAUGCAGACUGCAGAGCAGUGCUCCCAUCCCUGUGACCGCACAUCAGGGCAGCUGUGUGAUUACUGAGCGUCCCCUUUCUCCCUACAGUGAGCCAGGGAGGAAGCAGAGCGGGCUUUAUGACCCCUGCCCACCUGAGGGUGAGUUCAACAUAGGAUGCACAAGUUCACAAAAUGAAUAUCUCUCUCAUGAAAAUACAUUUGAAUAAGAAUUAUUAUUACUGAUGCGUUCAAUCUCCCACCAAUUUUGAAAGCUGGUUAUUGCUUUAGUAUGGUCAAGAAUCAUGAGAAGGUUUUUAUUUAUGUGGUGAACUUGAGGUUUUUCUGAGUAAACUGUGAAUUUGGGAUGGUUCUGUGGCUCACCCUGAUAAGAUACUGGGUUGCAGGUUCUGAUUGGUGCCAAAUGCAGCGGUGCAGAAAGUUGUAGCAUUCCCCAGGGAGGAAGGGCUACAGUCUAUAUCAUUUCCCUCAUCUCCCCUAACCCUAACUCUAACCUUAAUCUAACCCUCAUCACCUGUAACCUCAACCCUAACCCUCCUCUCCCCUGACACUCAAUCGAACAGCUGCCUGCAAUCUUCGUGCAACAACUGUGAAUUAACCCUUUGAAAGGUAGGAUUUGUGGAAUGUGUUUUUUUAAUUUUUAUUUUUAACUUCCAAGUCAGUGUUCAAGAACAUUGCUUUCCAUUACCAGCAGUGAUUGUGACAUCGGCUUUUAGAAUGUUCAGUUAAGAACAUUCUAAUCACAUUUGCGCUGUCACACCUUAAAGGGUUCAGUGCAGCAGCACAGCUGUGUAAUGCAAGUGAAGGUAUGUGGUGGAUGCCAGUAUGUGCUUUAAAUGACUUUUGAAAUGUUCUACUACACUUAUGCAGCACGUCGCAGUGAUGGGAUGGCUCUGUGAAUGAGCCUGGGGAUUCCAAAUUGGGAAACAAAGGGGGAAAGAAACACGGUACUACUCUUUCUUCAAAAGAGAACUACACUUAUUGUUUUCCGAAACGAACCCUUCCUCUGUGUUUGGAACAUGCUGUGAUUUCUUACACCCCGCGGUGCCCUUAAAGGUUGCCGGCCCAAAACCAAUGAGACUAAAUCAAAUAAUUUGACACGGGAGCAGCGGGCUGCAGGACACUUUCAUUACACUGUGUCUGAGCUGAAAUGGUUACUCCCACGGGAUCGA